GGGCCCUACGGGAGGCAGCAGGGAAUUUUCGUCAAUGGGCGCAAGCCUGAACGAGCGAUGCCGCGUGAGUGAAGAAGGCCUUCGGGUCGUAAAGCUCUGUUGCGGGGGAAAAAAGGCAGCAUCAGGAAAUGGGUGCUGACUGAUGGUGCCCCGCCAGAAAGUCACGGCUAACUACGUGCCAGCAGCCGCGGUAAUACGUAGGUGGCGAGCGUUAUCCGGAUUUACUGGGUGUAAAGGGAGCGUAGGCGGUUUAGCAAGUCAGAAGUGAAAGCCCGGGGCUCAACUCCGGGACUGCUUUUGAAACU
rnacentral:rRNA from 1 species